GCAGCGGCUGUGUGGUCAUUCUUGUUUAGUGUGCAGUCCCGCUCAUUGUGGGUGUGCACCUGCAUUUGAGUGUAUGCCAGAACUUCUGGGCUCUUUCCAUCUAUCUCCUGCACGUACCCGCACAGACAUUGAAUAUGUUUGGCUUAAAUUCAGACUUGGCCCCAGUUCAAAUUGUUGUUUCACAAGGUGUUAAUGUGCAACCUUUUUGUCAAGUUUGGCUCAAUUUUCAAUGCUGGUAGAGCGUGUGUCUCCAGCAACCGAUCAGCCAGAUUCUCGGGCUGUAGGCCAUUCUUGUAAACCCUUGUAAACCCUUGUG
rnacentral:lncRNA from 1 species